UUGGAGGGCAAGUCUGGUGCCAGCAGCCGCGGUAAUUCCAGCUCCAAUAGCGUAUAUUAAAGUUGUUGCAGUUAAAAAGCUCGUAGUUGAAACUUGGGUCUGGCUGGCAGGUCCGCCUCACCGCGUGUACUUGUCCGGCCGGGCCUUCCUUCUGGAGAACCUCAUGCCCUUCACUGGGCGUGUUGGGGACCAGGACUUUUACUUUGAAAAAAUUAGAGUGUUCAAAGCAGGCCUUUGCUCGAAUACGUUAGCAUGGAAUAAUAGAAUAGGACGUGCGGUCCUAUUUUGUUGGUUUCUA
rnacentral:rRNA from 1 species